rnacentral:snRNA from 1 species
GUGCUCACUUCAGCAGCAUACAUGUAUAUAUAAAAUUGGAAGGAUACAGAGAAGAUUAGCAUGGGCCCUGCACAAGGAUGACAUCAAAUUUGUGAAGCAUUCUGUAUUUUU